UGAUCCUGGCUCAGGAUGAACGCUGGCGGCGUGCCUAAUACAUGCAAGUCGAGCGAACAGAUAAGGAGCUUGCUCCUUUGAAGUUAGCGGCGGACGGGUGAGUAACACGUGGGUAACCUACCUAUAAGACUGGAAUAACUUCGGGAAACCGGAGCUAAUGCCGGAUAACAUUUGGAACCGCAUGGUUCUAAAGUAAAAGAUGGUUUUGCUAUCACUUAUAGAUGGACCCGCGCCGUAUUAGCUAGUUGGUAAGGUAACGGCUUACCAAGGCAACGAUACGUAGCCGACCUGAGAGGGUGAUCGGCCACACUGGAACUGAGACACGGUCCAGACUCCUACGGGAGGCAGCAGUAGGGAAUCUUCCGCAAUGGACGAAAGUCUGACGGAGCAACGCCGCGUGAGUGAUGAAGUUUUCGGAUCGUAAAACUCUGUUAUUAGGGAAGAACAAAUGUGUAAGUAACUGUGCACAUCUUGACGGUACCUAAUCAGAAAGCCACGGCUAA
rnacentral:rRNA from 1 species